GACGGGGGCCCGCACAAGCGGUGGGGCGAUGUGGUUUAAUUCGAUGAUACGCGAGGAACCUUACCUGGGCUCAAAUGUAUGUUGACGUAUUCUGAAAGGGAUACUUCUUCGGACAAUAUACAAGGUGCUGCAUGGUUGUCGUCAGCUCGUGCCGUGAGGUGUCGGGUUAAGUCCCAUAACGAGCGCAACCCCUAUCAUUAGUUGCCAUCAGGUCAAGCUGGGGACUCUAAUGAAACUGCCUACGCAAGUAGUGAGGAAGGUGGGGAUGACGUCAAAUCAGCACGGCCCUUACGUCCAGGGCUACACACGUGCUACAAUGGCCGAUACAGAGGGCAGCUACCUGGUGACAGGAUGCAAAUCUCCAAAGUCGGUCUCAGUUCGGAUCGGAGUCUGCAACCCGACUCCGUGAAGUUGGAUUCGCUAGUAAUCGCGCAUCAGCCAUGGCGCGGUGAAUACGUUCCCGGGCCUU
rnacentral:rRNA from 1 species